ACUGCUAUCGGAGUACGACUAAGCCACGCAAGUCGGCCCCUCGACAUGAGGGACGGCGUACGGCUCAGUAACAUGUAGUCAAUCUGCCCUCAGGACGGGAAUACCCACGGGAAACUGUGGCGAACUCCAGAUAAUCCAUCUAUGCUGGAAUGCUUGAUGGGUAAAAGUGUCGGUGAAAUGGAGCCGAUGAGCCUGAGGAUGAGACUGCACCUGAUUAGGUAGUUGGUGAGGUAAUGGCUCACCAAGCCGAUAAUCAGUAGGGGCAAUGGGAGUUGGAGCCCCGAGAAGGGCACUGAGACAAGGGCCCUAGUCCUACGGGAUGCAGCAGGCGCGAAACCUCUGCAAUGCGCGAAAGCGUGACAGGGGAAUUCUGAGUGGCAGCCGGCUUUUAGCCGACUGUCUUUUGGCGAACCUAAACCGUUCGCAGAAUAAGUUCUGGGUAAGACCAGUGCCAGCCGCCAUGUGCAUUUGCAUAAUGCGCACGGUACGCGGUAAUACUGGCAGAACGAGUGGUGCCCACGAAUAUUGGGUCUAAAGAGACCGUAGCUGGUCUGUUAAGUCCACUGUGAAAUCUUGGGGCUCAACCUCAAGGCGUGCAGUGGAUACUGGCAGACUUGAGAACGGGGGGAGGUCAGGGGUACUUACGGGGUAAGGGUAAAAUCUGUUGAUCCUGUAAAGGACCACCAGUGGCGAAAGCGCCUGACCAAAACGCGUCUGACAGUGAGGGUCGAAAGGCUAGGAGAACGAAUCGGAUUAGAUACCCGAGUAGCCCUAGCAGUAAAUUAUGCAGACUGUAGUGGUUGCGGUGGCUUCGGGCCCGCCGCAGUGCUGUAGCGUAGGUGUUAAGUCUGCCACCUGGGGAGUACGGCCGCAAGGUU
rnacentral:rRNA from 1 species